UACAGAGGGGGCAAGCGUUGCUCGGAAUCACUGGGCGUAAAGCGCACGUAGGCGGAUUGUUAAGUCAGGGGUGAAAUCCUGGAGCUCAACUCCAGAACUGCCUUUGAUACUGGCGAUCUCGAGUCCGGGAGAGGUGAGUGGAACUGCGAGUGUAGAGGUGAAAUUCGUAGAUAUUCGCAAGAACACCAGUGGCGAAGGCGGCUCACUGGCCCGGUACUGACGCUGAGGUGCGAAAGCGUGGGGAGCAAACAGG
rnacentral:rRNA from 1 species